CGCACCUGAAGGCCACUGAGCAGUCGAUAUGGCGGCACUCAAAAUGGAAGGACAUUGCAUAUUUAUUUGGAUUCAUCAUUUAUGGACCUCUGCCAAGGGGCAAGUGAAGAGGAGGAGAGUAUCCUGAUGGAUCAAUCAAGAUCCAGUGUUGACAUGCAACAGGAAGUGAUGGAUGCUCUCAGAGAAAUACCAGCCUCAGUCAAGUGUGUCAAAGAUCUUAUUACAACCAUGAAGAGAAUGCCACCUGUCAUGGACACUGACAGUACAAGUUCUGGUUCUUCCAGUCCUGCUCCAGAAAUGUUCUGCAAGCCGUUGUUGCUAAACGUUUUAAUCACGAUGGUGAUGACGUCAUUGCCUGCGAGCGAAAAGAGCAGCUACAUCCAGAAAAGCUGAGUGCCCUUGUUGAUACAGUCAUUGCUGAAUUUCCAGGAACAAAUGUGUUUGAUGUGAGAGCAGUGGUUCGAAGAAAAUGUAACAAUGAGAAUUUUGUGUCCAAAAAAAACCCCCAGUAAGUGAUUGUACUUUUUGUUUGUUUCUUUGUUUUUUGGUGGACAUAAAUUUGAAACAGUUUGUUUAAACUCCAAAUGUUCUUGUACGAAAGUUUCAAAAGUGAGUUUCAUGUUCAUCACUGUCAUUAUUAGGUUUACACAUAAAAUUUAAGACACAAUUCACUAGCUACUCUAUGGUGCACAGUUAGCAGUGCAGUACUAGCACGUCUUCUUUAAGAGUAUUACUAAAAAGAAUUGUUUGGGGUCAAAUGAUCCAAAGUGGAAUAAAAAUGUUACGAUGAAGAGAAACUGUUUGAAAAUGUUGUUAAGAUGUACCAAUACUAAACUGUACAUCUGGAAUUUGCACUUAAAUGUACUGUAAUUAUGCACAUUUUCCUGUAAUGUUAAAAAUAAACUUUUUUCAAACUUU